ensembl:lncRNA
CACAUGGUGGAUUCGACCAAUGAAAGCUGCACAUUAUGAGGAGUGGGUGGUAGAUCUGACCAAUCAGUAACUUCAAAAAGGGCCCCAGUCGGUGAAACUGACAAAUCGAGGAGUCACAGCUAGACCUGCAUCUCUGAGCUGGGAACGUUCUCCUUGGAAAGGUAAUCUGACUUUCAAAAUGGCUAAAGGCCACUCUGAGCUCUGACUGGCGCCAGGGUUCCAGGAAACAGGUCGGUGGCCAUUCCCGCGCCAGCAGCAACUGCCAGCGCGCCUUUGCUCAUAGAUUAGCCAUGAGGUCAACCGUUUCAGUGACUCACCUCGUGAAAAUGAGGCGGCAGUGUCAGGCCUUACUGUUUCUCUGUGUCCAUACUUCGGGAUGAAGUAAUAACCUUUGGGUGACCAUGAUAAUAAGCAAACUCAGAUUCCAGAGAUGAGUGUUCCUAUGCGUCAGAUCCAUCCAUCUGUGUUCCUCAAUUGUGCUGAAAAGUGUUACAUCUAUAAAAUACAUUUUUAAAACAUA